rnacentral:misc_RNA from 1 species
GUGAAUCAUCAAAUUUUUGAACGCAAAUUGCACUCUCUUCGGAGAGUAUGCCUGUUUGAGGGUCAGUAUUAAUAAAAAUCGGUGUGUUGCUUCUUUGUGACGCUCCGGAGUUUGGGUCAUCUUAAUAUCCUUUAGGUUUUAAGGGCCUUAAAUUUAAUUUUUUUUCGCCAUUUUGAUUGUAAUUAAAUUUUUUUUUUAUUUGUUUGGUUUUA